rnacentral:rRNA from 1 species
AACGAACGCUGGCGGCAGGCCUAACACAUGCAAGUCGAACGGGACCUUCGGGUCUAGUGGCGGACGGGUGAGUAACGCGUGGGAACGUGCCCUUUGGUUCGGAAUAGCCUCGGGAAAACUGGGAGUAAUACCGGAUACGGUCGGAAGACGAAAGAUUUAUCGCCGAAGGAUCGGCCCGCGUUGGAUUAGGUAGUUGGUGGGGUAAAGGCCUACAAGCCGACGAUCCAUAGCUGGUUUGAGAGGAUGAUCAGCCACACUGGGACUGAGACACGGCCCAGACUCCUACGGAGGCAGCAGUGGGGAAUCUUAGACAAUGGGCGAAAGCCUGAUCCAGCAAUGCCGCGUGAGUGAUGAAGGCCUUAGGGUUGUAAAGCUCUUUUACCCGGGAAGAUAAUGACUGUACCGGAGAAU